ensembl:snRNA U6 U6 spliceosomal RNA
GAGCUCACUUCAGCACAUAUGCUAAAAUGGGAACAAUACAGAUAGCAUGGCCUCUGUGCAAAGAUGACCUGCAAUUUUGUGAAGCAUCCCAUAUUUUU